rnacentral:rRNA from 1 species
CCGGCUUGUACCCGGCCGGAAAACUCAAACCGGAGGGGUUACCCUUGCAACCAGGGAUAACCCAGGUAAACAUUGGAAGGUGGCUUGCUUGGCUUGAAGGGGGUGAGGGCACCCAGUACAGGAUGACCUUGUGGUUGAUUAGGUCGGCGGCGGCGUCACCCCCCCCACAUAGUCCCUCAAUCAAAGGCGGGCGGUAAGGGUGCUCGGGGAGAUUGGGACCACACCCCCUCCCCAACUCCCGGCGGGGGCGAGCUGUUGCGAUUUUUGGGCAAUUGAAGAAAUUCCCACCGCCCACGGGGGAGAGAGGAAGGAGGGUUUAGGAAUCAAAAAAUUUCUGUUGUUAGAGAAGAACAGGGAUGAGAGUACCCUCUCCCUCCCUUGACGGUAUAUAACCAGAAAGCCAUGGUUAACUCCGUGCCAGCAGCCGCGGUAAUACGUAGGUGGCAAGCGUUGUCCGGAUUUAUUGGGCGUAAAGCGAGCGCAGGCGGUUUCUUAAGUCUGAUGUGACAGCCCCCGGCUCAACCGGGGAGGGUCAUUGGAAACUGGGAGACUUGAGUGCAGAAGAGGAGAGUGGAAUUCCAUGUGUAGCGGUGAAAUGCGUAGAUAUAUGGAGGAACACCAGUGGCGAAGGCGGCUCUCUGGUCUGUAACUGACGCUGAGGCUCGAAAGCGUGGGGAGCAAACAGGAUUAGAUACCCUGGUAGUCCACGCCGUAAACGAUGAGUGCUAAGUGUUGGAGGGUUUCCGCCCUUCAGUGCUGCAGCUAACGCAUUAAGCACUCCGCCUGGGGAGUACGACCGCAAGGUUGAAACUCAAAGGAAUUGACGGGGGCCCGCACAAGCGGUGGAGCAUGUGGUUUAAUUCGAAGCAACGCGAAGAACCUUACCAGGUCUUGACAUCCUUUGACCACUCUAGAGAUAGAGCUUCCCCUUCGGGGGCAAAGUGACAGGUGGUGCAUGGUUGUCGUCAGCUCGUGUCGUGAGAUGUUGGGUUAAGUCCCGCAACGAGCGCAACCCUUAUUGUUAGUUGCCAUCAUUCAGUUGGGCACUCUAGCAAGACUGCCGGUGACAAACCGGAGGAAGGUGGGGAUGACGUCAAAUCAUCAUGCCCCUUAUGACCUGGGCUACACACGUGCUACAAUGGGAAGUACAACGAGUCGCGAAGUCGCGAGGCUAAGCUAAUCUCUUAAAGCUUCUCUCAGUUCGGAUUGUAGGCUGCAACUCGCCUACAUGAAGCCGGAAUCGCUAGUAAUCGCGGAUCAGCACGCCGCGGUGAAUACGUUCCCGGGCCUUGUACACACCGCCCGUCACACCACGAGAGUUUGUAACACCCGAAGUCGGUGAGGUAACCUUUUGGAGCCAGCCGCCUAAGGUGGGAUAGAUGAUUGGGGUGAAGUUUCG